rnacentral:rRNA from 1 species
UACGGAGGGUGCAAGCGUUAAUCGGAAUUACUGGGCGUAAAGCGUGCGCAGGCGGUUUGUUAAGUCUGUUGUGAAAUCCCCGAGCUCAACUUGGGAAUUGCAAUGGAUACUGGCAGGCUGGAGUAUGGUAGAGGAAGGUGGAAUUCCCGGUGUAGCAGUGAAAUGCGUAGAGAUCGGGAGGAACACCAGUGGCGAAGGCGGCCUUCUGGACCAAUACUGACGCU